rnacentral:rRNA from 1 species
CUACGGAAGGCAGCAAUUAGGAAUCUUGCGCAAUGGGCGAAAGCCUGACGCAGCGACGCCGCGUGGAGGAGGAAGUCCUUCGGGAUGUAAACUCCUUUUGCCAGGGAAGAAUGGGCCUUUUGGUCUUCGACGGUACCUGGUGAAUAAGCCCCGGCUAACUACGUGCCUGCAGCCGCGGUAAUACGUAGGGGGCGAGCGUUGUCCGAAGUUACUGGGCGUAAAGCGCGCGUAGGCGGGCUGGUAAGUGAGAGGUGAAAGGCUGGGGCUCAACCCCAUGCAGGGCCUCUCAUACUGCUGGUCUUGAGGGCGGCAGGGAGAAGUGGAAUGGCUGGUGUAGCGGUGAAAUGCGUAGAUAUCAGUCGGAACACCUGUGGCGAAGGCGGCUUCUUGGGCCGUACCUGACGCUGAGGCGCGAAAGCCAGGGGAGCGAACGGGAUUAGAUACCCCAGUA